rnacentral:rRNA from 1 species
AUUGAACGCUGGCGGCAGGCCUAACACAUGCAAGUCGAGCGGGGUUUUCGGACCUAGCGGCGGACGGGUGAGUAAUGCGUAGGAAGCUGCCCGAUAGAGGGGGAUACCAGUUGGAGACGACUGUUAAUACCGCAUAGUGUCUACGGACCAAAGUGUGGGACCUUCGGGCCACAUGCUAUCGGAUGCGCCUACGUGGGAUUAGCUAGUUGGUGAGGUAAUGGCUCACCAAGGCGACGAUCUCUAGCUGGUUUGAGAGGAUGAUCAGCCACACUGGAACUGAGACACGGUCCAGACUCCUACGGGAGGCAGCAGUGGGGAAUAUUGGACAAUGGGCGCAAGCCUGAUCCAGCCAUGCCGCGUGUGUGAAGAAGGCCUUCGGGUUGUAAAGCACUUUCAGCGAGGAGGAAGGGGUGUGUGUUAAUAGUACACACCUUUGACGUUACUCGCAGAAGAAGCACCGGCUAACUCUGUGCCAGCAGCCGCAGUAACAC